UUCAGAAGUUGGAAUUUAGGAAUUAAAGAAUCAAAGUGGAAUCUUGGGAAAUGGGGGAGAAUUAACAAAUGGUCAACAGAGGUAGAAAAGAAUGGGAACGCGCCGUCUUUUUGAUGAAAAAGAGCUAAGAAGCCUAAAUAAAAUUAGGAUUUAAGUUGUAUAUGCUGGUAGUAUAAAUUUUUUUACAUCAUCGGGUCAAUUUAAUUGAUUAUAGCAGGUUAUUGUUUUAUUUUUU
rnacentral:lncRNA from 1 species